UGACGCUGGCGGCAGGCCUAACACAUGCAAGUCNAGCGGUAACAUUUCUAGCUUGCUAGAAGAUGACGAGCGGCGGACGGGUGCGUAACACGUAGGAAUCUGCCUAGUAGUGGGGGAUAGCCCGGAGAAAUCCGGAUUAAUACCGCAUACGCCCUAAGGGGGAAAA
rnacentral:rRNA from 1 species